GGGAUGUGAUGAGUGGUAAAUCCUCGCAAAUUAAAUAGGCGAGAUGGGUGUCUGCUCCGCCUGUUUUACGACAAUUAGGCGCUCUCACUUCAACCAUCUGAUCCC